rnacentral:lncRNA from 1 species
CCAAGAUGGCGGCCAGCAGGAGGCUGAUGAAGGAGCUUGAAGAGAUCCGCAAAUGUGGAAUGAAAAACUUCCGUAACAUCCAGGUUGAUGAAGCUAAUUUAUUGACUUGGCAAGGGCUUAUUGUUCCUUAAUCCAGUCCCUCAUAGCACUGGUGAACGACCCUCAGCCUGAGCACCCACUCCGGGCUGACCUAGCUGAAGAAUACUCUAAGGACCGUAAAAAAUUCUGUAAGAAUGCUGAAGAGUUUACAAAGAAAUAUGGGGAAAAGCGACCUGUGGACUAAAAUCUGCCACGAGUGAUUCCAGCAAGUUUGAGCAGAGACCCCGAGCAGUGCAUUCAGACACCCCGCAAAGCAGGACUCUGUGGAAAUUGACACGUGCCACCAACUGGCGUCCGCUUGUGG